rnacentral:rRNA from 1 species
AUUGAACGCUGGCGGCAGGCCUAACACAUGCAAGUCGAACGAGUGGCGGACGGGUGAGUAAUGUCUGGGAAACUGCCCGAUGGAGGGGGAUAACUACUGGAAACGGUAGCUAAUACCGCAUACCAACGGAUGUGCCCAGAUGGGAUUAGCUAGUAGGUGGGGUAACGGCCCACCCAGGCGACGAUCCCUAGCUGGUCUGAGAGGAUGACCAGCCACACUGGAACUGAGACACGGUCCAGACUCCUACGGGGGGCAGCAGUGGGGAAUAUUGCACAAUGGGCGAAAGCCUGAUGCAGCCAUGCCGCGUGUAUGAAGAAGGCCUUCGGGUUGUAAAGUAAUUUCAGCGAGGAGGCGUUACUCGCAGAAGAAGCACCGGCUAACUCCGUGCCAGCAGCCGCGGUAAUUC